AUUGAACGCUAGCGGGAUGCUUUACACAUGCAAGUCGAACGAGUGGCGGACGGGUGAGUAAUAUAUCGGAACGUGCCCAGUAGCGGGGGAUAACUAAGCGAAAAAGUGGAUAAUACCGCAUAAUCUUGGAGCGGACGAGAUCGGAUUAGGUAGUUGGUGGGGUAAAGGCCACCAAAGGCAACGAUCAGUAGCUGGUUUGAGAGGACGACCAUCCACACUGUGACUGAGAGACUGCCCAGACGCCUACGGGAGGCAGCAGGGGGUAAUUUUGGACAAUGGGGUAAUCCCUGAUCCAGCCAUCCCGCGUGUAUGAGAAGGCCUUCGGGUUGUAAAGUACUUUUGGCAGAGAAGCGGUAUCUGCAGAAUAAGCACCGGCUAACUACGUGACAGCCGCCGCGGUAAUUC
rnacentral:rRNA from 1 species